GAGGCUUGUGCUCAGCUGUCCAAGCGCCCCGUGGACACACAGAGCUGUAACAGGCAGCCCUGUGUUGAGUGGGUGGCAUCCUCCUGGGGCCAGUGUAAUGGGCCUUGCAUUGGACCGCGACUGGCUGUACAGCACAGACAGAUAUUUUGCCAGACCAAAGAGAGGGCUACUGUGUCGUCUGAUCAAUGCAGUGCCUUGCCGAGGCCACUGAGUACCCAAAACUGCUGGACCGACGUCUGUGGCGUGCACUGGAGGGUCAGCCUGUGGACCGUCUGCACAGCUACAUGCGGAAACUAUGGCUUCCAGUCCCGGCGCGUGGAUUGCGUGCACGUCCGCACCAACAAGCCCGUGCUGGAGCAUCAUUGCUCCUGGAGGCCACGGCCAGCAAACUGGCAACGUUGCAACAUCAUGCCCUGUGAAAAUGGUAUUUUGCUGAGAG